rnacentral:rRNA from 1 species
GACGAACGCUGGCGGCGUGCCUAAUACAUGCAAGUAGAACGCUGAAGGAGGAGCUUGCUUCUCUGGAUGAGUUGCGAACGGGUGAGUAACGCGUAGGUAACCUGCCUGGUAGCGGGGGAUAACUAUUGGAAACGAUAGCUAAUACCGCAUAAGAGUAGAUGUCGCAUGACAUUUGCUUAAAAGGUGCAAUUGCAUCACUACCAGAUGGACCUGCGUUGUAUUAGCUAGUUGGUGAGGUAACGGCUCACCAAGGCAACGAUACAUAGCCGACCUGAGAGGGUGAUCGGCCACAGUGGGACUGAGACACGGCCCAGACUCCGACGGGAGGCCGCAGUAGGGAAUCUUCGGCAAUGGACGGAAGUCUGACCGAGCAACGCCGCGUGAGUGAAGAAGGUUUUCGGAUCGUAAAGCUCUGUUGUAAGAGAAGAACGAGUGUGAGAGUGGAAAGUUCACACUGUGACGGUAUCUUACCAGAAAGGGACGGCUAACUACGUG